GCGGCGGUGAGCGGCGGGCUAGAAGGCGGCUGCGGCUGCCCUGGCUCUGCUCUUGACCGCCGCCAGCCCCGGGAACUUUCCGACGCCGCCGGGAGACGGGGGACGGGCAGCCCGGGCUGGGACGCGGCCGGACCGCUGGAGCCGUGCGGGCUGGGGAAGAAGGAGACGUGUCUUUAGGAAGCAGAGAGGGUUCGAUUCUGGACUCCGCCCAUGACUCACUUCUCUUGUAAAGAAAGAGUUGUCCUUCCUGGUACUCCAGCAUCCAAGUUUUGUCUCUGGGAUUUGGAAGCCACCUGCAUUUUAAAAGAAAUUUUUUCCAGGAUCAGUCUCUCGCUGUGUUGCUCAGGCUGAAGUGCAGUGGCUGUACACAGGAGCGGUCAUCGCAUGUGACAGCCCCACACCCCUGGGCUCAAGUGACUCUCUUGCCCUCAGCCUCCUGAGUAGCUGGGACUACAGGUGAUCCCCCAUUUUUGACUCAGUUUUCCAAUUGCAAAAUGUGGUCAAUAUCAGGGAGAUGAAAGAGGAGCACACAUGGAUGUAACUUGAUAGAGUAUAAGAAAAGUAUCUUGAAAGAGGUCCAGAAUAGGGGGAAGGUCCCAUAAGAUGAUUAUAAAAGGCUUCAAAGAGAAAGUAGUAUUUGAGAGCUUUUCUAUAAUCACAACUUCCUCUUCCUGUUAUUUUUUGCUCAUUUCUGCUGUCGAAUAUAAUUUUCACCCUCACUGUGAGCUCAAGUUCCAUGAACCCUGCCUGCCCUAGUUCAUCACCUCCUGUGAUUUGCUUUCCUACCUAACCCCAAGACCAUGGUGACCUAUUUCAUUUAUUCUAAAAAUAUCUGUGGAGCACCUCCUUUGUGCCAGGCAUUCUUCUAGAGACUGGGGAAAUUAUGAAUAAAACAGAUUGUCUUUCCUCUCAAAUGUCCUAACAUUUUCAACUUCUCUACUUGGGAGGUAAACCCCUUGUGAAUGGGAUUAGUGCCUUAAAGCAAGGAGGGGGAUAUAUUAUGGGUUUCUUUCUUAUUUGGUAAGAUUUCCUAUAGUCUUAAUAUAAUAGAUAGCAAUAAAUAAAUACUUCUGGGUGAGGAAUUAAUUGAAAUCCUCAGUAUCCCUCUAUUUAUAAUGGCUAAAAAAAUGUGAAUGACCCAAAUGUCCCCAUUACUGAAUAGAUAACCACUUAAUUUGUUUUUGUCUCUUUUAUAUACAUGUACCACUCUUAACUCUUAUAACUAUACUUAUUCAUUUCAUGUAUACUUACAUAUAUUCUUUAUUGAACCAUGAACUCUCUAAAGGCAAAGUUGUGUUUUGUUGAACUUGUAUCCUAGUAACUGUCAUGUAAUAGUAGGUGCUCAGCAGUGUCUGUUGAAUGAAAGAGUGAAUGAAUGGUAACAGUUUCUCCAGCACUGGCCAAGGGAGUGUGCUCUACCCUGCUGAUUCAAGCAUCAGAUCUACUCAGAAAUUCUUCCCCUGCUGAGAAGAAGGGGAUGCUGAGACUCUUCACAGUUGAAAUCAAUGUGAAAGGAGCUGUUAUCAAUGCUCACUAAGUAAUCCUGUGGUUUUAUUUUAUUAUUUAUUAUUUAUUUGUUUAGUAUUUUUGAGACAAGAUCUCACUCUGUUGCUCAGGCUGGAGUGCACUGGUGCGAUCAUGGCUCACUGCAGCCUCUAUCUCCUGGCUGAAGCAAUCCUCCCACCUCAGCCUCCUGAGUAGCUGGGAUGACAGGCACACACCAUCAUGUCCAGCUAAUAUUUUUAAAUUUAUUUUUUGUAGAGACGGGUCUCCCUGUGUUGCUUAGGCUCGUCUCAAACUCCUGGGCUCAAGCAGUCCUCCCACCUCAGCCUCCCAAAGUGCUAUGAUUACAGGCAUGAGCUUACCACACCCAGCUGUGAUUUUAAUUUGACUUUCCAGAUAGAAAAGAAAGCACUAAUCUCUUCACAACUAUUUCUGGUCUGUUUACCAGUUACAUUUCCCCCAUGCAAAUUAAUGUAUUGUAUCUUAAAACUGAUUUUAAAAACCAGAAAAACAAAACAAAAAAAAUUUUGGCUUUUACUUCCCCUUCCAGCUACUGUCCCAUUUGUUUUUGUUCUCCUUUACUAUAAAAUCCUUGAAAGAGUUCUAUAUUCACUGCCCCAAUUCCUUUUCUCCUGUUUUCUAUUAAAACUAUUUUAACUACCUCUUGCCCCCAGCAUUCCACUGAAAUUACUCUCCAAUUACUUUGUUAUUUUGUUAGUUAAUCCAAUAGCCAGUUCUUUGUCUCUAUCCUUGACCUAUCAGCAUUUGCCAUAGUUGAUUACUCCCUCCUCCCUUUAACACUUUCUCCACUUAGUUUAUAGGAUACUUCAGUCUCCUGGUUUUAGUCCUACACUACUAGUCACUGUUCUCAAACUCCUGCUCAUGACCUCUUAAUAUUGGAGUGUCCCAGGCCUCUGCCUUGGAAUUUUUUUCUUCUGUUCCUACCCCCUUUCCUAUAGUGCUCUCAUUCAGUCUUCUGUCUUUACAUGUAAAUAUGCUCACAACUCCCAAGUCUUAAACCCAAACUUGUAUUCCAAGUACCUCAGCAUCUUUACUUGUAUAUUUAAUAGACCUCUUCAUUUGAUCAUAUCCAAAACAAAACUCAGCAUACCCCUUCCCCUCAAAAACUUUCUCUACCUACAACCUUCUUUAUCUCAGUUAUUGGCAACUCCAUCAUUUGAUUGCUGAGGCCAACUCAGCAACUCUUUUAUAUCCCACAUUCAGUUUGUCAUCAAAGCCUAUUGCUCUCUCUUCAAAAUAUAUGACCACUCUCCCCAACUCCACUGAUAGCAGCUUGGUCCAAACUACUGUCAUCAUUGACUAGAAUUUUGUAUUAGCUACCCUUAACAUUCAUUCUAUUCUCAACACAGCAGCCAGAGUGAUACCUUUAAAAUAUAGAGCAGACCAUAUUAAGACUGUUCAAAACUUUCUAAAAGCUUCCUAUCUCACUCAGAGUAAAAGCACUUAUUUUUACAAUUAGUCCCUGUACACCCCCUUACCUCUCUGGUCUUAGUUCCUUCUGUUAUUCCCCUCCAUUCUCUGUUCAGUCACAUUGGCGGCCUCCUUGCUGUUUCUCAAACACUUUGAACACACUUUCUCCCAAGAGACUUUGCCCUUGCUAUUUCCUCUGCUCUGAAUGCUUCUCCCAGAUAUCCAUGUCUUCCUUGACUCCUCAUGUCUUUGCUCAAAUGCUCCUGUUUCUGUGAGGCCUUUCCUUACUACUCUGGUGGAAAUUGAUCACCGAACAACCACCUCUUUGCUCUUUUGCUCUCCCUAUUUUCCUUUACUACUUAUUUUUCUCCAUUGCACAUAUCACUUUCUCUGUGCUAUAUAUUAACUUAUUUAUUGUGUUUAUUGUCUGCCCCCUCUAGGGCAGGGACUUUUGUCCCUUUUUUUUUCGCUGCUGUAUCCUUAACAUCUAGAAGAGUACCUGGUACACAGCUGGGACUCAAAUAUUUGUUGAAUGAAUGCAAUUGAAAUUUUGGAUGUAAUCUCCUGGAUUAGCAUAAGCAGGUCUUUCUUAGACUGAUCACCUGUAGGUGCAUCUAUAAAUAUUGAGCUUCUGUAUUACAGCCUGAAUCAUGGUGGCUCCACCAAGCUAACAGCUUCUUGUGGUGCCCAAUUUCUAUGUGGCUACACUCUGCCAUUUCUGUCUGGGUUCCUUAUAACCUUAAAGAGACGAAGACCUCUUUGAAGCUUUCUGGUCUUCCCAUGUCACAGAGUCGGAACUGGAGAACUGAUCAGCAAGAUUCUGGUAGCUUGUAAUUAGCAUUUCAAGGGCCAAAUGGUAGGAUACUAGUGCUGCUGCAUGCUCCAUCUUCUCUGCAACUGAAAGCAAUACCAUGUAAACAUGUCAGGUGGUCUCUUAUUAUCUUAGAAAUUGCAAAAAGUCCAGUGGCUGGCACUAAAACCAGGAACAGUAACAAGCAAAGAUUUAUUGGCUGGGUAUGGUGGCUCAAGCCUGUAAUCUCAGCACUUUGGGAGGCUGAGGCGGCCAGAUCAUGAGGUCAAGAGUUCGAGACCAGCCUGGCCAACAUGGUGAAACCCCGUCUCUACUGAAAAUACAAAAAUUAGCUGGGCGUGGUGGCACGUGCUUGCAGUCCGCAGCUACUUGGAAGGCUGAGGCAGGAGGAUCACUUCACCCGGGAGGCGAAGGUUGCACUGAGCCGAGAUCGUACCACUUGCACUCCAGCCUGGGCGACAGAGUGAGACUCUGUCUCAGGAAAAAAAAAAAAAAAAAGAUGUAUUGAGUGCUUGCUUUGUGCUGGCACUGUUCUAAACACCUUUUGAUAUAUUACCUAAUUUAAUCCUCACAACAACCCAGUGAGGGAAAUAUUAAUAUUAGGAACAUUUUACAGAUGAGUAAACUGAAACCAGAGAAGAAACGUGUCUGUGGUCUUAGAGCCAGUGAGUGUCAGAGUCAGAAUGUGAACCCAGGCACAUUCUGACAGGCUUUAGAGCCUGAACUCUUAACCAUUGUGUUCCACUGCCUGCUUACAGAAUGAAAAGGGGAGAAGAACUUUACCUUGAAAAGAAAGCAAAAUAACUAUGACUCCAUCACGGUAAUUCUGCCAUUCUAAAAGCACCUUCGUAACCAAGCACUUUCUUCUGGCAUCAACCCUGUUGCUGUUUCAUGCAUAAUACAAGAUUUAGGCUGACUGGCCUCCAAGGUACUUUGUCACUCUUUCUAGUCAAAGGAGUGGGCUCCUUGAAACACUCUGCCAAACCUUUCCCCUGUAUCUUUGCUUCACUAGCUCCUGCUCUUUAGCUGUGCUCUUAAGGGUGUGUCAUUAACUGUUGAGAGCCACACAUAACUCCCCAACACCAACACCCUAGUCUGGUUUAGGUCCCUGGACUCUACGUUUUUAUUUCCAUCAAAGCACCUAUCAUAAUUGUCAUUGUUUGGUGAAUUGUCUGUUUCCCUGCUGGACUAAUCUCUGUGAAGACAGAGAUUGUGUCUGUCUUAUUCAUUGCUGUACCCUUAAUACCUAUCAUGGUGUUUGGCAUGUUGGAGGAGUUUGAUAAAAUUUUUUUGAAUGUUCCAUCCAGACUUGGUAAAAAAAAAAUCUGAAUGAAUUUAAGUGAUAUUUCUAUAGCCUAUCUGCAAUUAUAUCCAGGUAUUAAGGUGAAUUUUCUUGUGGCUAGGCUAGCCUACCUUUUUAGAAAUGGAAGAGAUGGUUUUCUUUCAAUCUGCCUUCUAGCUGUUGGGUUUUCGUGUUAUGGAAUCACUGCCAGUGCCAAAAUGCUAAGUUUUCAAUUAGUGCCACUGUCUGCUUCAGAUACAGCUGACAUUCAACUGCUGUGUGAUGGAUGUUUUCCUAGGGUCUUUUACAUAUAUGUGCUAAUUUAAAUUCAGAUAACUUCUCUGGGUUUCAGGUUCCUCAGCUAUAGAACCAAGUUACCUAACUGACUUCCACAAGAUCAAACUUGUAAGUUUGAGAAUUGGGGUCUGAAUUUAGAACUUCCAAUUCUAACUUUAGCUUUUUUGUUCAUAUAUGAUGUUGCCUUCCUGUUCCCAAGAAUCCUAUUGAUUCUUCUCUGCUAGUCCACAGGUAGCACCAGAUUACUAAGUAACCUGCACAUUUCAUAAUCUUGUCAUAUGCAUUUCCUUUAAAAAAAACUUUCCCCCCUCUCAUUUUUUUUCUUUUUUCUACUUUUAUUUUCUUCCCAUUCCUAUUCUGCCUGCUUUCCAAAACAGUGACAGAGUUUAUGAAAACAUUUCUGAGGCCUGUUCUAGCUUCUUUUCUUUUUUCUUUUUUUUUUUUUUU